rnacentral:rRNA from 1 species
CUUGUACACACCGCCCGUCACACCAUGGGAGUGGGUUCUACCAGAAGUAGGUAGGCUAACCGCAAGGGGGCCGCAUACCACGGUAGGAUUCAUGACUGGGGUG